AUGCGGGUAAUUGCAUAUGGCGUUCCGGCAGACUAUGCCGAUGAGUAUCUUCGCAUUGGUGAAGAUACAACAAUUGAGUAAGUGCGUAGAUUUGCCAAAGCGAUCAUCCGUGUAUUUGGUCUCGAAUAUCUUCGGGCACCCAACGAGGAUGACACAAACAAAUUGAUGUCAUCUAAUGAGAGGAGAGGUUGGCCUGGCAUGUGA
rnacentral:rRNA from 1 species